rnacentral:misc_RNA from 1 species
GAUGAAGAACGCAGCGAAAUGCGAUACGUAAUGUGAAUUGCAAAUUCAGUGAAUCAUCGAGUCUUUGAACGCACAUUGCGCCCCUGGUAUUCCGGGGGGCAUGCCUGUCCGAGCGUCAUUGCUGCCCUCAAGCACGGCUUGUGUGUUGGGCCCCGUCCUCCGAUUCCGGGGGACGGGCCCGAAAGGCAGCGGCGGCACCGCGUCCGGUCCUCGAGCGUAUGGGGCUUUGUCACCCGCUCUGUAGGCCCGGCCGGCGCUUGCCGAUCAACCCAAAUUUUUAUCCAGGUUGACCUCGGAUCAGGUAGGGAUACCCGCUGAACUUAAGCAUAUCAAUAAGCGGAGGA